UACGGGGGGGGCAAGCGUUGUUCGGAAUUACUGGGCGUAAAGGGCUCGUAGGUGGCCAACUAAGUCAGACGUGAAAUCCCUCGGCUUAACCGGGGAACUGCGUCUGAUACUGAACAGCUAGAGUAUGGUAGGGGCAGAGGGAAUUCCUGGUGUAGCGGUGAAAUGCGUAGAGAUCGGGAAGAACACCAGUGGCGAAGGCGACUUCCUGGCCUGUUCUUGACGCUGAGGCGCGAAAGCUAGGGGAGCAAACGGG
rnacentral:rRNA from 1 species